GUCCUUGUAGUUCAACGGAUAGAACGGGGCCCUCCUAAGGCUCAGAUGCAGGUUCGAUUCCUGCCGGGGACACCA
rnacentral:tRNA from 8 species